GCACAACAAUGUCGUCAUCACGGCGUUCAGCCCGCUUGGCAGACCUGGUGAGGAAAGCCUACAUGGUGUCAGUCCCCUCAAGGAUCCUAAGGUGAUUGCAAUCGCAGAAAAGCACAAGAAAACUCCAGCACAGGUGUGUCUCAGGUGGCAGGUACAGAGGGGCGUGGUCGUCGUCCCGAAGAGCACCUCACCUGCCAGAAUCCUGGAGAA